UCAGGAGCUAACUCAUGUUAGCAAGAUGGACUAAGGAUGGGUAACAGCAUUUCCCAAUAGUGGGGGAAAAAAAGAAAAAUGAAGAAUGCCCCUUCAGCCCUGGUGGUUGAUCAAGAUCAUUCAGAGGUCCAGUUCUUUUUAAAUCAAAGAUACCGUGUCCAUAACCCAGGGAAGAUUCCUUCCUAACCAUUCUUGAUCCCUACCUCUCUGACAGAUGGGAGGACACAGCUGCUGUACCCGGCUCUUAAGUCAUCACCUGGAAAUAAAUACUUUAAGAGCUAGAGAAGCAUGGCAGCUAAGGGCAGAGAAAAUGGUUUUGUCGCAUUGAAAGUCUACCUGGAAGUCAAAGAUGUUCCAAGUUGCAUUAACUCCCCUUCUGUACGUUUCACCCUCUCCGCAAUCUCCCCUGCAAAGGAGAAUUAAGUGAAGGAAUGGGGGUGGAGGAGAGGAGGAGAACAGAGUGUCAGCCAGAGAAGAGGGAUUUCAAAGGAGCACCAGAGAAGAACCAGUACUCUUCACUACCACGGUGGGAUAAUCAACAUUGCAGCCUAGGCUCAGUGGGGCUUUCCCAUCUUUUCCCGUCACUCACUCAGCAUGGGGUUAGAAACUGCUCCCCCUUGAGGAUGGACUGGGAAAGAUGUGCUGAGAGCAGAGAUGUCAAGUAGGCCUCUUCCACAGGAGGAGAUAAUCAAGUCAAUGGAGAUGGUGGGUGAAUAUUAUUAGGAUGGAAUUAUUAUUUGUAGAGCUGGUUGAAAUUUUCCAAAUUUUGAUUUUUCAAUAAAAAAGGCAGGAUGAAUUUUGAAAAGUCUUGGAGGUCUCAAUAAAAAUUAGGGACCCUUUGUACUGGUUACUGUCAAUAACCACUCAAAAGCUGCCUGUAAAAAUGCAUCGCCUAAAUUUUCAAAAGUGAUUAGUUAUGCUUCAAUUUUUGGGUCCCUAACUUGAGCCUCUUUAAAGGGGUCUAAGUUUCAUAAGGCCAAAGGCCAGAUUUUAAAUGUAUUUAGGCACCCAGAGAGGUACAUAAGCACCUAGUGGGGGUUUCAAAAUGCCUGGGCAACUAACUUCCAUUGACAUCAAUGAGAAUUAGGAGACUAGGCGCUUUGGAAAAUCCCACUAGAUGUCUCUCUGCAUCUUGAGGCACAUAAAUACCAUUAAAAAUGUAGCCCCAAGUGCUCAGCAUUUUCUGAAAAUCAGGACCGUUUAAGGUGUCUCAUGUUGGAUUCCAAAUAUUUAGAGUACACAAACUCCUGAGUGAUUUAUUUUUCAAAUGUAGGCCCCCAUCUUUAUAUGCCUUAUUGGAAAUGUAAAUAAAAGCAACAACUUUUAUUGCAAACAUGGGAGGAAAAAAACAUUAGCUUGUUUUAUAUUUAUAACCUUUAUUUACAUGGUGAGGAUGCCUAUUAAACUGACAAAAAGGGAAUGGAAGUAGUAAAAAUGAAAUUGAGAGGAAUAAUGAGUGUUAUAUCAUUAUUUAUGAGCAUACAAACGUAAUACAAAAAUAAACUAAGACAUUUGUUUUAGAAAUACAUUGCCACAAAUAACAUAUAAAUGAUCAUUUAAUGUAAUGAGGUUUUUUCCUUCUAAUGAAGUGUAGUUCCUUUAAAAAUAGCCCAUGAAUAAUGACAAUAAUUAUUAAUAAAUAUUAAUAAUUACCCAUAAUGGGUAAUUAAAGUUUAAUAAUUAGUGUGAAAGUAAAAAAAAAUUACAAGAAAGAACCAUUUGAUCAUAUGGAAACAUGCAGAAUUUGAAGGAUGUAGUAUAAUCACUGCAGCAUAGGUUAAUUGUUGUCCAUUUGAAGUCUGCACUCAUUUAUGUUCACGGUUAUGGGAAUGUAACAGUUGAUAGAGCAUUUGUGAUAGAAAAAUUGAAUAUGUAAAUAUUAUUCCAAAUGUGAGUCCGCUGUGAUGGGGUUAUCUUUGCAAAUGCAGUUCUCAUUGGCGAGAUUCUACAAGCAGGUGCUUUUGAAGUGUCUUCUGUAAAAGUGAGUUUGACUUUGGCAAGUUAUGGGCCACACACUGAGCUUGAUGAGGCAGAUUCUCUGCUGGCAUAAAUCAGCAUAACUCUCUUUUGCUUGAAUAGAGCUGUGCCUCUAUACACCUGCUGAGGAGCUGGCCUGAAUUUUCUAAAGUCUGUCUGCAUUACAGCUAAGUAGUACCUCGAAGCAGGCUUCAGUCUCAUGUGUUGGUUUUGAUAUUUUCGGUGUAUCAAUUCCUUCUUCUUACACGGAGAUGAUAGCAAAAGAGAACCAUGACUGGAACGAAGUAGGAGGUGAGUUGCCAUACUUCGAGCUGUUGGUGAAAAGCAUCCUUCUCUAGUAUAAAAUCUCAAUGCUUUGAACUUAUAUUAUUGAUAGUGUGGCAGCUCCUGUAGUCUCCAAUCAAGGAUCAGGGCCCCAUUGUGGUAGGUGCUGUAGUAAAAUUGAAAAUCCCUGUCUGAAAGAUCUUAUCAUUGAAACGUGAGGAGAAACAACGGGAGAAGGAACCAAAAGCACAAGGGGGAGGACAAGGUGACAGUGCAACAAUCAUAGAGCACGCAGCAGUCUCAGAAGUGCAUGCUUUUCACUCCAGAAGUUUUACAAAGGUUUUAUUAUUCCCACUAUACAGAUGGGGAAACUGAGGCAUAGGAAGAGUAAAGUCACUUGCCUAAGUCAGCAUACUGAGUCUGUGGCUGAGCAGGGAGUAGAACCUAGGGUAAGAUCCUGUGCUGUGUGUGGUGUAUUGAAAACUGCUAAACCCCCCAAGUUGUCACUUUAAAUUGCAAUAGUUUUUCCUGGCCCUGCUUGGAGGCUAGGGGCUCUGUAGGGAACUGUAAGAUAUGGGCCUAGCAGCAGGCAGUCUGCAUACAGGAAGCCUAAGAGUAAGGAGGGGUGAGUUGUGCCUCCUGCCCUUGGGAGCAGCCUGCUUCAUCUCUCUCUGUUUUCAGGUUCUUGUGUUACUGUUCUGAAUUCUAAGAAAUAAAGUAACAUUAUGUUACUCUUGCUGGAAGGUUGCAUUUGUUUUUAUUCAACUUCUCUGUGUGUAUGCUGUGAACAUAGCACUGUGCCUCAAUACACUUGCAACUCAGGGAGGGAGUUAAUGGAGGUUUUAAGCCACCUUUGUGCCUUCUUGAUCCUAGGCUAGAGAGGCCCACGUAUAGCUUAAACUGAGCCUGUCUAAAUUACAGCUGCCUGCUAGGGUCUG